GACGAACGCUGGCGGCGUGCUUAACACAUGCAAGUCGAACGGAAAGGCCCUGCUUUUGUGGGGGACUCGAGUGGCGAACGGGUGAGUAACACGUGAGUAACCUGCCCUUGACUUUGGGAUAACUUCAGGAAACUGGGGCUAAUACCGGAUAGGAGCUCCUGCUGCAUGGGGGGGUGUGGAAAGUUUCGGCGGUUGGGGAUGGACUCGCGGCUUAUCAGCUUGUUGGUGGGGUAGUGGCUUACCAAGGCGUUGACGGGUAGCCGGCCUGAGAGGGUGACCGGCCACAUUGGGACUGAGAUACGGCCCAGACUCCUACGGGAGGCAGCAGUGGGGAAUAUUGCACAAUGGGCGGAAGCCUGAUGCAGCAACGCCGCGUGCGGGAUGACGGCCUUCGGGUUGUAAACCGCUUUCGCCUGUGACGAAGCGUGAGUGACGGUAAUGGGUAAAGAAGCACCGGCUAACUACGUG
rnacentral:rRNA from 1 species